rnacentral:piRNA from 1 species
UGUCACAGGACAUCCACUGUGGUAGUAC